GACAGAGGGGGCAAGCGUUGCUCGGAAUUACUGGGCGUAAAGGGCGCGUAGGCGGGAUGGCAAGUCGGUCGUGAAAUCCCUCGGCUCAACCGAGGAACGUCGAUCGAUACUGCUGUUCUUGAGGAUUGUAGAGGAGACUGGAAUUCCCGGUGUAGCGGUGAAAUGUGUAGAGAUCGGGAGGAACACCGGUGGCGAAGGCGGCUUUCUGGUCUGUAACUGACGCUGAGGCGCGAAAGCGUGGGGAGCAAACAGG
rnacentral:rRNA from 1 species